UUUUGAACAUCCCCGCUGCAGAAUGGAAGCCAUCGACAGAAAAAUCGAAGCUCCCAUAAUAAACACAAACCUGAAAAAACAACAGCCCUUAUGAGGCGGCCACUUCCAACUUUUUCGUCCCUACAUCGUUAGUAUUUUAUAAGCUAAGACGUAAGAGAAGCAACACAUGAUUUCUUGAAAACACAUCAGCUUAGAGGUGGAGGAAGGAUCCCAGUGUCGGGCUGAAAGGUUUGUGCCCCUUGUCGUCCUGACUUAGGAAGACACCCUUUGGAACAAUGGACAAUCCCCCCAUUCGGUCACCGAAAACAAACGACUACGUAUAAAAUAAGCUACACGGAUAUUCUGUGCAACAUAAGGAAUGUGACCUGUAUUUUAUCGUAACUCUAUUUUUAAAUUGUGAAUCCCUACAGUAUAUACAUGUAUAUACGUGUACUAUACACACAUACAUAUACAUAUAGUAUACACAUAUGUGGCACAGACUUGUAUAAUGCUGAACAUCAACUACACUCAAUUUUAAAAAAUUAACAUAAAGGAACUCUUCACCAGCCCAGAGAAACCUAAGUUCAUACCAGCAAUGAAACACCGGGGACCAAAGACAGGAACCCACGGCCAGUUCUACGAACACCUCCCAACGACGGAGGGAAGUCAUUCAAUUCAAAGUGUCGGCGGACACAAAACCCGCGCUGUACGGGAAGUCAGGGUCCUUCAACCAAGAGAACAGCCGGAGACAGCCAGGCUUACUCCACUAUCAUUUUAGAGUUUAACUCACUACUAUCACUAACUGUUAUAUACAUUAUCAGACUUUAUCAGAAAUCCCUGAUACUGAUAUACACCGUACCUUUUAGGAAAUAAGAUUUUCACACGUAUUUUCAGGAUUAGUGGAAUAUUCAGAAUUUAUGACUUUCCACAAGAUUCUAGGAUCUCCCAUAUCAUACGCACACUAAUGAAACAUUCCUUCUGAGUCACCCAUCUUUUAUGUGCAUGUGUCUUAGACAAGCACUACGCCAGGUGUCAGAACUGUGCGUGAACCCAGCUUUCGGGAGGAGUUCAUCACACAGAGGCCUGGGGGCAGCACAGGCCAGUGCUGGAACUCAGGGCUGCGGUCAGGAAGGCACAGCAUUAGCGGAAAACCAAAGCUGGCGGAUGGGCCACGAAGAGCGGGCGGUGGGUCUACAACUCACCAUGGGAACACAAGGUCGGCCACCGUCAGCCCUGCAGGACCCCAGUCAGCAUCCCUUGGGGAUCUGCACGUCCUUCACAGUCUGA
rnacentral:lncRNA from 1 species